AGCUUUGCCCAGUGGCAGUAUCGUAGCCAAUGAGGUUUAUCUGAGAUGCAAUUAUUGCUAAUUGAAAAAUUAUGGUUUAAAAGUAAUGCCUUUGUAUGUCAAGUUGACAAAUGGUCAAUUGUCC
rnacentral:snRNA from 1 species